rnacentral:rRNA from 1 species
CCUACGGGUGGCAGCAGUGGGGAAUAUUGGGCAAUGGAGGCAACUCUGACCCAGCAACGCCGCGUGAAUGAUGAAGGUCUUCGGAUUGUAAAGUUCUGUGAUGGGGGAUGAACACAAUGACGGUACCCCAAUAGCAAGCCACGGCUAACUACGUGCCAGCAGCCGCGGUAAUACGGAAGGUCCGGGCGUUAUCCGGAUUUAUUGGGUUUAAAGGGAGCGUAGGCCGGUCUUUAAGCGUGCCGUGAAAUUUUGUGGCUCAACCAUGAGAGUGCGGCGCGAACUGGAGACCUUGAGUGCGCGGAAGGCAGGCGGAAUUCGUGGUGUAGCGGUGAAAUGCUUAGAUAUCACGAAGAACCCCGAUUGCGAAGGCAGCCUGCCGCAGCGUUACUGACGCUGAAGCUCGAAAGCGCGGGUAUCGAACAGGAUUAGAUACCCUAGUAGUC